rnacentral:rRNA from 1 species
ACUACCGAUUGAAUGGUUUAGUGAGGCCUCCUGAUUGGCGCCGCCGCCCCGGCAACGGAGUAGCGGAUGCCGAGAAGUUGGUCAAACUUGAUCAUUUAGAGGAAGUAAAAGUCGUAACAAGG